GACGAACGUUGGCGGCGUGCUCAACAUAUGCAAGUCGAACGGAAAGGCCCUGCUUUUGUGGGGUGCUCGAGUGGCGAACGGGUGAGUAACACGUGAGUAACCUGCCCUUGACUUUGGGAUAACUUCAGGAAACUGUGGCUAAUACCGGAUAGGAGCUCCUGCUGCAUGGUGGGGGUUGGAAAGUUUCGGCGGUUGGGGAUGGACUCGCGGCUUAUCAGCUUGUUGGUGGGGUAGUGGCUUACCAAGGCGUUGACGGGUAGCCGGCCUGAGAGGGUGACCGGCCACAUUGGGACUGAGAGACGGCCCAGACUCCUACGGGAGGCAGCAGUGGGGAAUAUUGCACAAUGGGCGGAAGCCUGAUGCAGCAACGCCGCGUGCGGGAUGACGGCCUUCGGGUUGUAAACCGCUUUCGCCUGUGACGAAGCGUGAGUGACGGUAAUGGGUAAAGAAGCACCGGCUAACUACGU
rnacentral:rRNA from 1 species